GAUGAACGCUGGCGGCGUGCCUAAUACAUGCAAGUCGAGCGAACAGAUGAGGAGCUUGCUCCUUUGACGUUAGCGGCGGACGGGUGAGUAACACGUAGGUAACCUACCUAUAAGACUGGGAUAACUUCGGGAAACCGGAGCUAAUACCGGAUAAUAUUUCGAACUGCAUGGUUCGAUAGUGAAAGAUGGCUUUGCUAUCACUUAUAGAUGGACCUGCGCCGUAUUAGCUAGUUGGUAAGGUAACGGCUUACCAAGGCAACGAUACGUAGCCGACCUGAGAGGGUGAUCGGCCACACUGGAACUGAGACACGGUCCAGACUCCUACGGGAGGCAGCAGUAGGGAAUCUUCCGCAAUGGUCGAAAGCCUGACGGAGCAACGCCGCGUGAGUGAUGAAGGUCUUCGGAUCGUAAAACUCUGUUAUUAGGGAAGAACAAACGUGUAAGUAACUGUGCACGUCUUGACGGUACCUAAUCAGAAAGCCACGGCUAACUACGUG
rnacentral:rRNA from 1 species